rnacentral:rRNA from 1 species
AGCGAACGCUGGCGGCAGGCCUAACACAUGCAAGUCGAACGAACCUUUCGGGGUUAGUGGCGGACGGGUGAGUAACACGUGGGAACGUGCCUUUAGGUUCGGAAUAACUCAGGGAAACUUGUGCUAAUACCGAAUGUGCCCUUCGGGGGAAAGAUUUAUCGCCUUUAGAGCGGCCCGCGUCUGAUUAGCUAGUUGGUUGAGGUAAUGGCUCACCAUGGCGACGAUCAGUAGCUGGUCUGAGAGGAUGAUCAGCCACAUUGGGACUGAGACACGGCCCAAACUCCUACGGGAGGCAGCAGUGGGGAAUCUUGCGCAAUGGGCGAAAGCCUGACGCAGCCAUGCCGCGUGAAUGAUGAAGGUCUUAGGAUUGUAAAAUUCUUUCACCGGGGACGAUAAUGACGGUACCCGGAGAAGAAGCCCCGGCUAACUUCGUG